rnacentral:rRNA from 1 species
UAGGGAAUCUUCGGCAAUGGACGGAAGUCUGACCGAGCAACGCCGCGUGAGUGAAGAAGGUUUUCGGAUCGUAAAGCUCUGUUGUUAGAGAAGAACGUUGGUAGGAGUGGAAAAUCUACCAAGUGACGGUAACUAACCAGAAAGGGACGGCUAACUACGUGCCAGCAGCCGCGGUAAUACGUAGGUCCCGAGCGUUGUCCGGAUUUAUUGGGCGUAAAGCGAGCGCAGGCGGUUCUUUAAGUCUGAAGUUAAAGGCAGUGGCUUAACCAUUGUACGCUUUGGAAACUGGAGGACUUGAGUGUAGAAGGGGAGAGUGGAAUUCCAUGUGUAGCGGUGAAAUGCGUAGAUAUAUGGAGGAACACCGGUGGCGAAAGCGGCUCUCUGGGCUGUAACUGACGCUGAGGCUCGAAAGCGUGGGGAGCAAACAGG